rnacentral:rRNA from 1 species
UGGGGAAUCUUGCGCAAUGGGCGAAAGCCUGACGCAGCGACGCCGCGUGGGGGAUGAAGGCCUUCGGGUCGUAAACCCCUUUCGGCAGGGACGAAGCGAUCACGUGACGGUACCUGCAGAAGAAGCCCCGGCUAACUACGUGCCAGCAGCCGCGGUAAGACGUAGGGGGCGAGCGUUGUCCGGAUUCAUUGGGCGUAAAGAGCGCGCAGGCGGCCUGGUAAGUCGGAUGUGAAAACCAGAGGCUCAACCUCUGGCCUGCAUCCGAUACUGCCCGGCUAGAGGUAGGUAGGGGAGAUCGGAAUUCCUGGUGUAGCGGUGAAAUGCGCAGAUAUCAGGAGGAACACCGGUGGCGAAGGCGGAUCUCUGGGCCUUACCUGACGCUCAGGCGCGAAAGCUAGGGGAGCGAACAG